rnacentral:lncRNA from 1 species
AGAUGACACUAGAUGACACUAGAUGACGGUAGAUGACAGUAGAUGACAGUAGAUGACGGUGGAUUACACUAGAUGACAGUAGAUGACAGUAGAUGACAGUAGAUGACUGUAGAUGACACUAGAUGACGGUAGAUGACAGUAGAUGACAGUAGAUGACACUAGAUGACGGUAGAUGACGGUAGAUGACAGUAGAUGACAGUAGAUGACGGUAGAUGACACUAGAUGACACUAGAUGACGGUAGAUGACACUAGAUGACGGUGGAUUACACUAGAUGACGGUAGAUGACACUAGAUGACGGUAUAUGACACUAGAUGACGGUAGAUGACACUAGAUGACACUAGAUGACAGUAGAUGACUGCAGAUGACUGUAGAUGACACUAGAUGACAGUAGAUGACAGUAGAUGACGGUAGAUUACACUAGAUGACAGUAGAUGACAGUAGAUGACGGUAGAUGACGGUAUAUGACAGUAGAUGACAGUAGAUGACAG